rnacentral:misc_RNA from 1 species
GAUGAAGAACGCAGCGAAAUGCGAUAACUAAUGUGAAUUGCAGAAUUCAGUGAAUCAUCGAGUCUUUGAACGCACAUUGCGCCCCCUGGUAUUCCGGGGGGCAUGCCUGUCCGAGCGUCAUUGCUGCCCUCAAGCACGGCUUGUGUGUUGGGCUCCGUCCCCCCGGGGACGGGCCCGAAAGGCAGCGGCGGCACCGAGUCCGGUCCUCGAGCGUAUGGGGCUUUGUCACCCGCUCUGUAGGCCCGGCCGGCGCCAGCCGACAACCCAUCAUCCUUUUCAGGUUGACCUCGGAUCAGGUAGGGAUACCCGCUGCACUUAAGCAUAUCAAUAAGCGGAGGA